rnacentral:rRNA from 1 species
AACGAACGCUGGCGGCAGGCCUAACACAUGCAAGUCGAGCGGACCCUUCGGGGUUAGCGGCGGACGGGUGAGUAACGCGUGGGAAUAUGCCCUUCUCUACGGAAUAGUCCUGGGAAACUGGGGGUAAUACCGUAUACGCCCUUUGGGGGAAAGAUUUAUCGGGGAAGGAUUAGCCCGCGUUGGAUUAGGUAGUUGGUGGGGUAAUGGCCUACCAAGCCGACGAUCCAUAGCUGGUUUGAGAGGAUAAUCAGCCACACUGGGACUGAGACACGGCCCAGACUCCUACGGGAGGCAGCAGUGGGGAAUCUUAGACAAUGGGGGCAACCCUGAUCUAGCCAUGCCGCGUGAGUGAUGAAGGCCUUAGGGUUGUAAAGCUCUUUCAGCUGGGAAGAUAAUGACGGUACCAGCAGAAGAAGCCCCGGCUAACUCCGUG